UUGAAUACUUAUAUACCUACACCUCCAGUUUUACAAUUACAAUUCUCUUUUCUCUUUUGAGAUCUCUUGGACUAUUUGCUUGUAAUUGGUUUACAAGACUUCUGCUUUUUCUCUUCUUAUUUCCUGAAACUUGUAUGUUCUGAUUUAAUUUCAGCCAUCAUCCCAGUAUGUUUACUUACAGCUUCUGCAAUCCUGUUUGAUUUUCUAUCCAUGCUCAGUGAUUAAUAUUAACUAUGCAUGUCCUUUUCUUACAUCUGUUCCUAUUGUGAAUCCCUACCCCUACUCCCUUCUAUGUGCUUGAGUUAAGGUUCAGGCAUGCUUGUGUCCAAAUUGCUGCUUAUGUCUUGACCUGAUCCUUAAUGGAUCCUAACUCCCAGUAUAUGUGGCUAACAGGCUGGGCAGGGGUGUGUCAGCAC
rnacentral:lncRNA from 1 species